GACGAACGCUGGCGGCGUGCUUAACACAUGCAAGUCGAGCGAUGAAACACCUUCGGGUGUGAAUUAGCGGCGAACGGGUGAGGAACACGUGAGAAAUCUGCCUUCAACACUGGGAUAACUCCGGGAAACCGGGGCUAAUACCGGAUAUGAAAUCUGCGGGCAUCCGCGGAUUUGGAAAGUUUUUCGGUUGAAGAUGAUCUCGCGGCCUAUCAGCUUGUUGGUGAGGUAAUGGCUCACCAAGGCGACGACGGGUAGCCGGCCUGAGAGGGCGACCGGCCACACUGGGACUGAGACACGGCCCAGACUCCUACGGGAGGCAGCAGUGGGGAAUAUUGGGCAAUGGAGGAAACUCUGACCCAGCGACGCCGCGUGCGGG
rnacentral:rRNA from 1 species